rnacentral:lncRNA from 1 species
ACUUAAAUCUAUUUUUUAUUUAUUUUUAGAUGUUAUAAUUGCCCACAACAAAUCACAAUUUUAAUAUCUAAUCUAAUAUUUGCUCUUGAUUUGCUCCGAUUUAACUAUUGUGUUGUAAAGGGAAUAGUCCACAUUUAUAAAGUGUCCACGCCACCAUUGAAAAAGUUAAUUUUGAAUCUAAAUUCGAUUUUAUUUGUAACAAUUUUGUAUUAGACUAUUAAUGUGUUUAUGAUAGUUUGUAAAAGAAGUUUGUAUCCCUUGCAUGUUGCGUUACUUACUAAUAUUUUGAAUCUAAAUUCGAUUUUAUUUGUAAUAAUUUUGUAUUAGACUAUUAAUGUGUUCAUGAUAGUUUGUAAAAGAAGUUUGUAUCCCUUACAUGUUGCGUUACUUACUAAUUUAAUGUAUGUGAUUUUUGUAAUGGAUAUUAAUGUAAGAUAUAUUUCGAACUUUACUUUUAUUUGAAUUUUUUAUUUUAAUAUGAUUAACUCAAAAUCGAAAACAAAAAAAAUGUAUUAGUUAUUCGGGGAUCGGGGAUAGGGAUGGCAAAAUCCGGGUCCGGGUUCAGUCUUUCCGGUUCCGGACCCGGAUGACAAUUUUGUUAUACCGGACCCGGAUAUAACCCGGAUAUUUUAAUUCCGGGUCCGGACCGGGUUGAACCCGGAAAAAGCCGUGUUUUCGGAUUGCGGGUUCCAAACCCGCAUAUCUAUUACAAUUUUUUUUUUCUCUCGAUGUUACUUCCUCAAAUCUCCAAAUCUCAAAUCACCAAAAUCCCGAAAUCAUAGCUAAAUGAAUGUUGAGGGAGGAUUGCUGAGUUUUCAGAUUUUUGGUGGCAUUGGUGUUGUCGUCGGUGUCGAGGAGAGCAUCGUCAGAAAGUUGCUGUGGAGAUUCAGUAGUUUCUGGUGACAAAAAACCAGCAAGAGUGGCGGAAAGCAGCUGUCAAAAACCAGCAAGAGUGACAAAAAAUGAGGAUCAGCCUUAAUGGGUGCAUUACUCUUUGUCUUCCUUUCAAUACAAAGAUUUUUCCAAGUCAUUUGAGUGAAUGAAAGAGAAAUUGGAGAAGAAAGAAAGCAGCUGCAGUGGGUUUGUUUUAAUGAAAAGAGAAGAUGGAGAAGAAAGAAAGAGAAAUUGGAGAAAAAAGAAGCGGCUGCUAGGUUAAGGCUUAAGGCAUUAGGGUUUUUUUUUCUUUUAUAUUUAAAUUAUCCGGGUCCGGGUUUCGGACAUCCGGGUUAAGAUAAAACCGGAUCCGGACCGGAAUGUAUCCAGGUUCAAAAUAUCCUUUCCGGAUCCGCAUUGUAUUACCUUCCGGUGCGGGUUAAACCCGGACCGGAUUAUCCGGGUUUAUCCGGGUCCGGGUUAAUUUGCCAUCCCUAAUCGGGGACCUUCGGGGAUCUCCUGUUAUUAUUCGGGGAGGGGAUGAAGAUUCUCUCAAGUAAUUCUGACGGGGACGGGGAGGGGACGAUGACAUACGCAAAAUAUCGGGGAUGGGUACAGGGAGAUUGGUCCCCUCCCCUCCCCAUUGCCAUCCCUACUUGCAAGGGCCUGGUCCUUGAGUUCACUGGAUUCAUCUAGAUACAUUUUUAACCAAUGAUUAGUAUUAAUUUGUUAAAGCUGCAGGUUGCACUAGAAACUUGUAUAAAAGGAAGCGUCACAUUGCAAUCAAAUUAAUUAUGUUGAUAUAUGUUUAAGUUUUUCAUCCAAUAUAAUUGGGGCAAAAAGUUAAAAGACAAAAAGGGAGUUUCCUGAAAUGGAAAAGAAAUCUCUGACGGGUAAUUCAGAAUUCAUAAUAUUAAGGCAAUUGUUAAGUUACAGCCGUUGUAACUCACACCCCAUUCAAAAACAUGCAAAAAGUAGUAACAUGCAUGGGGUCUGCAUGAUUUUUGUAUGGAGUGUAAGUUACAGCAACUGUAACUUUGCAAAGGAUCAAGAUUCUCUCCUAAUCUGAACACUCUUGAUCUUUUAUAGAUUUUAUGAUAUCUAUCUUUUAGUGUUAGUGAAUAAUUAUGAUUUAACUAUUUUUUAUUUUGAAUUUAUUAAACACCAAUCACAUUAAUAAAAUUUACUUAGAUUAAGAUCAGUUCAGGAGAGGAUCCUGAUCCCUUUGCAAGACCCUAAUAUUAAUGACGGAGCAAUGGCUGAGCAUGAUCAUGGAGAUUCGGUACUGAAGAUUAUAGAUUUAAGGUGAGGAAGAAUCAAGCAUUUAAGGUAGUGUUUACUUUCUGGAGUGGGAGUGUGGAGUGUGUAUUCCUCCCACUCCAAUAUUUACUUACCUUAAAAAAGGGGGGGAGUGGGAAUGGAAAUCCGUGGGUCCCACCCAAUUUUGGAGUGGGGAGUGAGAUUCCCACUCCCAUGGGGGGAGGUGGGAGUGAGAAUUCACUACCCCCUCUUCCUAUUUUAUCCCUAUAAUUA